AGUGAACGCUGGCGGUAGGCCUAACACAUGCAAGUCGAACGGCAGCACAGUAAGAGUUUGCUCUUACGGGUGGCGAGUGGCGGACGGGUGAGGAAUAUAUCGGAAUCUACUUUUUCGUGGGGGAUAACGUAGGGAAACUUACGCUAAUACAGCAUAUGACGUACGGGUGAAAGCAGGGGAUCUUUGCACCUUGCGCGAUUGAAUGAGCCGAUGAUGGGUUAGCUAGUUGGCGGGGUAAAGGCCCACCCAGGCGGCGAUCCGUAGCUGGUCUGAGAGGAUGAUCGGCCACCCUGGAACGGAGACACGCACCAUGCGCCUGCGAGAGGCAGCAGUGUGGAAUAGUGGGCAGUAGUCGCGAGCCUGAUCCAGCCAUACCGCGUGGGUGGAGAAGGCCUUCGGGUUGUAAAGCCCUUUUGUUGGUAAAGAAAAGCAGCAGGUUAAUACCCCGCUGUUCUGACGGUACCCGAAGAAUAAGCACCGGCUAACUUCGUG
rnacentral:rRNA from 1 species